rnacentral:lncRNA from 1 species
GAGGCCUUUGGACUCUCUGUGGAUGUUCCUGCUGCUCGCUUUGUUUUUCUUCGCUUUGGUGGGAGUAGUAGGGACAACUCUCACUUGUCUCUGUUGUAUGCUCUUGUUUGUAGCAUUUAUGUUGGAGUAAUGGUGUAGCGAAAGUAUUGAGUGGCUUGUGUCUUUUGCUGCUCUGUGCUGCAGCGAUGCAAUACUCUUGUGUUUUCCGAGGGCUAGCUCGUCAUACAGUACAUAGUACCUAUCUGUUUGUUUCUGAACAAUUUUUUUUCUUGUCAUAUUGAAUAUUCGGAC